GAUGAACGCUAGCGGGAGGCCUAACACAUGCAAGCCGAGCGGUAUUUGUUCUUCGGAACAGAGAGAGCGGCGCACGGGUGCGGAACACGUGUGCAACCUGCCUUUAUCUGGGGGAUAGCCUUUCGAAAGGAAGAUUAAUACCCCAUAAUAUAUUGAGUGGCAUCAUUUGAUAUUGAAAACUCCGGUGGAUAGAGAUGGGCACGCGCAAGAUUAGAUAGUUGGUGAGGUAACGGCUCACCAAGUCAAUGAUCUUUAGGGGGCCUGAGAGGGUGAUCCCCCACACUGGUACUGAGACACGGACCAGACUCCUACGGGAGGCAGCCGUGAGGAAUAUUGGACAAUGGGUUAGCGCCUGAUCCAGCCAUCCCGCGUGAAGGACGACGGCCCUAGGGGUUGUGAACUUCUUUUGUAUAGGGAUAAACCUACUCUCGUGAGAGUAGCUGAAGGUACUAUACGAAUAAGCACCGGCUAACUCCGUG
rnacentral:rRNA from 1 species